AGAGAAGGUCUGUCAUUGACCCUGAAGCUAGACUGGCUGAUAGCAAGCCCCAGUGAACCGCCUGUCACAAGAACCCAUAGAACUGGGGUUACAGAUAAGAAUAAUGAAUCUUAAGCUUUUUUGGAUGCACAAGUGAAAUAAUGAAUUGCAGGCUGAAGACCAGCAGCUAAUUUUGACUUCCCUUGGACUCCAGCACCAGAUUGGGAAUACUGAGACAUCCAGUCCCAUGAACUGAGCAACUGGAGUCCUUGGUCUUCUCGUUGGGAGAUCAUGUUUGCCAUUUUGGACUACUGAAACCACAUGU